rnacentral:rRNA from 1 species
UGGGGAAUAUUGGACAAUGGGGGCAACCCUGAUCCAGCAAUGCCGCGUGUGUGAAGAAGGUCUUCGGAUUGUAAAGCACUUUCGACGGGGACGAUGAUGACGGUACCCGUAGAAGAAGCCCCGGCUAACUUCGUGCCAGCAGCCGCGGUAAUACGAAGGGGGCUAGCGUUGCUCGGAAUGACUGGGCGUAAAGGGCGUGUAGGCGGUUUACACAGUCAGAUGUGAAAUCCCCGGGCUUAACCUGGGAGCUGCAUUUGAUACGUGUAGACUAGAGUGUGAGAGAGGGUUGUGGAAUUCCCAGUGUAGAGGUGAAAUUCGUAGAUAUUGGGAAGAACACCGGUGGCGAAGGCGGCAACCUGGCUCAUGACUGACGCUGAGGCGCGAAAGCGUGGGGAGCAAACAGGAUUAGAUACCCUGGUAGUCCACGCCUGUAAACGAUGUGUGCUAGAUGUUGGGUAACUUUGUUAUUCAGUGUCGCAGUUAACGCGUUAAGCACACCGCCUGGGGAGUACGGGCCGCAAGGUUG